GAUGAACGCUGGCGGCGUGCCUAAUACAUGCAAGUCGAGCGAAUGGAUUAAGAGCUUGCUCUUAUGAAGUUAGCGGCGGACGGGUGAGUAAAACGUGAGUAACCUGCCCAUAAGACUGGGAUAACUCCGGGAAACCGGGGCUAAUACCGGAUAACAUUUUGAACCGCAUGGUUCGAAGUUGAAAGGCGGCUUCGGCUGUCACUUAUGGAUGGACCCGCGUCGCAUUAGCUAGUUGGUGAGGUAACAGCUCACCAAGGCAACGAUGCGUAGCCGACCUGAGAGGGUGAUCGGCCACACUGGGACUGAGACACGGCCCAGACUCCUACGGGAGGCAGCAGUGGGGAAUCUUCCGCAAUGGACGAAAGUCUGACGGAGCAACGCCGCGUGAGUGAUGAAGGCUUUCGGGUCGUAAAACUCUGUUGUUAGGGAAGAACAAGUGCUAGUUGAAUAAGCUGGCACCUUGACGGUACCUAACCAGAAAGCCACGGCUAACUACGUGCCAGCCGCCGCAGUAA
rnacentral:rRNA from 1 species